rnacentral:rRNA from 1 species
CCCCCGGGUCCGAGUUGUAAUUUGCAGAGGGAGUUUCGGAGGCGGCGCCGGCCUAAGUUCCUUGGAACAGGGCGUCAUAGAGGGUGAGAAUCCCGUACGUGGCCGGCGGUCAAUUCCGUGUGAAACCCCUUCGACGAGUCGAGUUGUUUGGGAAUGCAGCUCAAAAUGGGUGGUAAAUUUCAUCUAAAGCUAAAUACCGGCCAGAGACCGAUAGCGCACAAGUAGAGUGAUCGAAAGAUGAAAAGCACUUUGGAAAGAGAGUUAAAAAGUACGUGAAAUUGUUGAAAGGGAAGCGCUUGCGACCAGACUUGCUCGCGGGUGAUCAGCCUCCCUUUGGGGGGGUGCACUCACCCGUGAUCAGGCCAGCAUCGGUUUUGGCGGGUGGAUAAAGUCCCCAGGAAUGUGGCUCCCUUCGGGGAGUGUUAUAGCCUGGGGCGCAAUGCGCCCAGCCGGGACCGAGGACCGCGCUUCGGCUAGGAUGCUGGCGUAAUGGUUGUAAGCGACCCGUCUUGAAACACGG